UGCAGUAUAGUUUAAUAAAAAUGUCUAUUUUACACAUAGGGGUUUCCUAUUAGGAUUCUGUAA
rnacentral:tRNA from 1 species